rnacentral:rRNA from 1 species
GACGAACGCUGGCGGCGUGCUUAACACAUGCAAGUGGAGCGACGAACCAGGCUUCGGCCUGGGGCAAAGCCGCGAACGGGUGAGUAACACGUGGGUAACCUGCCCCGAAGAUCGGGACAACCCGGGGAAACCCGGGCUAAUACCGAAUGUGCUCCCGCCACAUCAGUGGCAGGUGCAAAGGAAGCUUCGGCCUCCGCUUUGGGAGGGGCCCGCGGCCCAUUAGCUUGUUGGUGAGGUAACGGCUCACCAAGGCUCCGAUGGGUAGCUGGUCUGAGAGGACGAUCAGCCACACUGGGACUGAGACACGGCCCAGACUCCUACGGGAGGCAGCAGUGGGGAAUCUUGCGCAAUGCGCGAGAGCGUGACGCAGCAACGCCGCGUGGGGAAGAAGGCCU